CAUAUGCGAGCAUCGUGAUAGGGGACCCCGAGUGCCGGUAAUUCGGGCUGUCCGCCUGUGCAAAAAACUGGUGAAGAAAGAGCCGGGCAAGACCGGUGCCAGCCGCCGCGGUAAUACCGGCGGCUCGAGUGGUGGCCACUAUUACUGGGCUUAAAGCGUCCGUAGCUUGGUUGUUAAGUCUCUUGGGAAAUCCAUCGGCUCAACCGAUGGGCGUUCAGGAGAUACUGGCAAUCUAGGGACCGGGAGAGGUGAGAGGUACUCCAGGGGUAGGAGUGAAAUCCUGUAAUCC
rnacentral:rRNA from 1 species